AUAAGUUUUCAAUCUGAGAGUUUAGCAAUCUGAGAUGAUCUCUUUCUUUGCAUGGAAGAAUGUGUGAGUAUAUAAGGUGUUAUUAACUCUGUCCUUUUGGGAGACUGAGCUAAGGGCUAACUUACAGUGUUUAUUUAUUUAAUGUUUUUACUGCACAUGUGUAUAGCAUUGAAGGUUGGUUAUAUAUGAAGAUGUGUUCUUUAAUCAGUAUGCGUGACUUCUAGGUUUACUUUGAAAUCCUUUACCUUUCUUCCAUCAAAGGAAUAUUGAAUACAUAGGAUAAGAAGGUAUUAUUGUGAAGCAAUGAACAAUAUCUCAGAGGAUGAUGCAGUUUUGACCUGUAGCAGGUUACAUACCUGUGAUGGCAUACAUGUACACACUUGCACUUGAAACACAGUGGGCAUCGAGUGAGUGACAGUGAUACAGCUAUCCAACUUCUUGUUCAUUUGAGUUGCAUCUUACCAAAAAGACAACCAGGGCUUCCUCUAGAGCACAAUUACUUGGAGCGACACCGUCUAUAAGACACCUGACUUUUACUCUUAACACUGAAAUGAACGAGUGAGCAUUUAAGUGGGACAUAGCCACCAGAGUACCAAUCCUGGUGCCUUGGUCUCAUAGUUGCAUUACCCUGCUCGUCAUUGUUUUCAUCUUGUAUUGAUUAUUGCCUUCUUGACAGUUGCUGUGUCCCCUUUAGCCCUUAGAAUUAAUUUUAGCCACUCUGCUUUUACACAGAUUGAAAGAGCUAAGAGCAGUUAGCUAGUGGAUCACCCCAGGGUGUGCGGGCAACAAAAUCUUUUUAAACUAAUGAUAGUCUUUGGUGGAUCUUUUUAUUUAAGUUUUCAUUUUGGACAUAAUAUAUAACACUAGUUUCGUAUUUAAUGAUAAACUGUAGACUUUGCCAUUUUACUGGGUGGUGUUAAAUAAUGUAGUAGAGUGGAUUUCAAAUUUAAACUCAUUUUCAAGCUUAGGAGCUUAACUGGAUCUCAUUGGGGGUUAUGUGACAUACACACCCUUUAAAUGUUAAAUAUUCUUGAUACAAAUUUCUUGGGAUCAGAAGAGUUUGGGACUUUGGAUUCUUCUGGGUGUUGUAAUAUUUAUAACAUGCAUAAAGAGAUAUAUCUGGGAUUAGACCCAUUCUUGAACACAAUUAAUUCAUAUUUUAUUAAUAAUUUUGGUAUUUGAUGAAAUCAUUCCAAUCACUACUGGUUGGUAGUAGUUCGUAGGGACAGGUGUGGCAUUUUCCUCUUGUGACAUCAAGUUGGUGCUCAGAAAUGUUUCAGUUAGAAGAUUUUGGGUUAGGGAUUCUCAGCCUAUGUGCAUACCAGUGUGUAAUGUACGUAAUAAUGAUUGGCAAAAUAAAGUUUGGAGUGUCCCUUAACAGUUAUAGCAUUUGUUUGAUAAGACCAGUGUCUUAGAUAGACUUGCUAUGACCAAAAGCAACCUGGGUAGACAGGGUUUGUUUCAGCUUACAUUUCCAUAUCACAAAUCAUCAUCGAAGAAAGUAAGGACAAGCACUCAAGCAGGGCAGGAACCUGGAGGCAGGAUUUGAUGCAGAGACCUCGGAGGAGUGCUGCUUACUAGCUUGCUCCUCCCGGUUUGCUCAGCCUGCUUUCUUAAAGAGCCCAGGGCCACCUUCCCAGGGGUGGCAGCACACACAACAGGCCAAGCCCUAGAGCAGCAAUCACUAGUUAAGAAAAUGCAUCACAGGCUUACCUACAGCCCUAUCUUAUGGAAGCAUUUUUCUCAACUGAAAGUCCUUCUUCCUAAAUGACUCUAACUUGUGGCAAGUUGGCAUAAAACUGAGCAAAACUGGACAGCCACCUGCCAUUAGCUGUGGAAUUUCAGGAGAAGUUUUAAACUCGAGUCAUUUUCUAAUCUAAUCUAUGCAGCCACCACCGCUAUGCACACUACAGGAAUCUAAUAGCCAACAUUAAUCCAUGUACUGUCCAACUCUUCCCACUUCAAGUCUGUAAGGCUUGCUGUUGUCCACAUGAGAAUUUCAAAGAACCUUUGUCCUGUGAAGUCUCUGACAGUUUACACCUGAGACAGAAGGUUGGCACAUCUUUGUACUAAUACAGAGAGACCAAGCAGAUUGACUGCUUUGUGUUGUAAGACACUGUGUCAUCGAAUCAAUGAAUAUAAUGAAACCGUAGGUCUCACAGUCCAUAUUAUAAAGUGUAAAAAAUAUUUCAGUACCUAGAAGCUGUACCUAGGCAACCAGCUCUUCAUAUAUGCUCCAAAAAAUAUGUGUUGGCACAAUAUAAAAUAAUCAGGGGGUUAUGGUCGUUCUUCUGCGGAUAGGAUCUAUAGAUCAAGAAGACAAUUGGCUCACUUAUAGACAAAAUACUUCUCAUCUAUAAAAAUAUGUGAAAGAUUUCCUAGAAAUUUUUCUGAUAUUGGCAAGUAUUUUUGUGUCAUUAAAACCUUGUAAUGCAAUGAUCACUUGAAGUUACUUGAGAACAGAAAACCCCACAUCAUGUUGUUUCUUACUGGUCUCACAUAAAAAACAAAUAACUAAGUGUACAUUGAAUUAUGUGGGACAUGCAUAAUUGUAGAAGAACAUGUAAUGUGAAUAGAUGGGAAGGCUAAAAAUGAUGUAAACAUAUUAUAGCUUCAGAAACAAUUAAACCUGUCCAGAUUUAUAGCUUUCUGUUUAGAAGUUUCUCCUAAAGUUGCAAAAGGUUCUAUUUGGUUGAAGCUAGACAGUUGAUGCAGCAGCUUAACACUGUUGGCAAAUACACAGCUUAGAUUUUAAAAUAUGCAAUCAUUUGGGAAUUUGUUCAACUUAUUUUGGU
rnacentral:lncRNA from 1 species